CAUUCCAUGAUCACGUGACCGGUCGGUGCGUUGUUGCCAUGGCGCCUGAAACCACGAAAACUCUAUGGUGAUACCGGAAGCACCGAGAUUACUGGAUGGGAGUGGGAAUCCGUUCGGUUUGAGGAUCACUAUUAGUAAAGGAUGCUACAGCCUGGUAAUUACAGCCUGGUGCUCUCACUGCAGUUCCUGUUGCUGCUCUUCGAUCUCUUUGUCAAUUCUUUUUCAGAACUCCUGCGCUCAGCCCCGGUCAUACAGCUGGUUCUCUUUAUAUUGCAGGAUGUGGGCACACUGUUUGCAGCAAUUGUCCUGUUUCUUAUGCUCUUUAACACGUUCGUGUUCCAAACCGGACUUCUCAACCUCCUCUGUCAACGUUUCCAAGUCACAGUCUUUCUGUGUGCUCUUCACUUAGCUCUCAGCAUAUCACUACAUGUUUGGAUUAUGAAUUUGCGCUGGAAUACUGUAAACUAUUUUAUUUGGUCUGAUGGACUACAGGCUUUAUUUGUGCUUCAGCGAUUUGUGGCUGUAUUGUAUUUUUACUUCUACAAGAGGACCGCUCUGAGUCUUGGAGACUCACGCUUCUACCAUGACUCUCUCUGGCUGCGCAAGGAGUUUGCUCAAGUGCGUGGAUAAAACUAUACCUCUUAGAAGGAGAACAUAGUGUGUGCUUAUCCUUGAAGAGGUAGUGAUAAACAUUUGCACUGAAAAAAAACCCCCACCAACUUGAACAUGGUUCCCACACAUGAACCUGUUGUAUUAACACAGAAAUGUAUCUCUCUCUCUUGUGGAUGUUUUGUGUCAAAUGUGAUGUCAUAACAAUGUGUUACUGAACUGUUCUAACCAACAAAACAGACGUCCCACAUGGAGUAGGACACUGGUAGUCAGAAAUGUCCAUGCAACAGCCAUGUGAGUACAUGUUAGGGAAACGUAUGGUAUCCUAAACAGGGCGAAUAGGGAGAUAUUACCUAUAUUAUUGUAAAAUAAUUUUUACUGAUUAUAUUUUGUUACGUUUUAGGUGCAUUUAUAUAUAUAUGUGUUAACAUACAAGUCCAGCAGUGACCUGUACGUGUUCACUCAGUCAGAAGCCACUUACCUUACCAAGGUUACCUUGCUUUGUCUGGCUUCCUGCAUGUUCACAAUGCAUCAAUGGCAGCCGCUUACUACUAGGAGAACAAACUGGGCAGUACAAGGGACAUUUGUUCGGGUAAUUGCUACUUCAACCAAGGAUCACUUAAAAUGGCCGCCCACGAGCGCAAACAGAUCAUCACAAGAAUUCUAUGGUAUUAUGUGCGUACAUGCUAGAAACCCAGAACAUCUCAACUAAUUAUUUGGGGAAUAAAUAACAAUAAAUUACAUUUUGACAUUGGGUAUAUCCUCUUCAUAUUUAAGCAGAUUUAUGUUAAGAAAAUUUGGUCAGUUUCCCUUUAUCUAUUACUAAAAAGGUCCAUAUACAUUUUUUAUUUUUUUUUUCCAUUCUCUUCAAUGCGUGAUUAGAUAGAUAUACAUACUUGUCUGGGUAUGCCACAACAGCAUAUGCAUGAAAUAUAGUAAGAUAACCGUACUCCAAACAUUUUGCGAUUUAAACUAAAACAAACCAUGCACACUUUCGGUUAAUGGGCUAGUUCGUUAUAACGAGUCGAACGCCUUUACCAUGAGUGUGUGUGGAGGCUAAGGAGAGCGGUGCAAUGGUUCAACACCUGGGUGGUAGUGUGUCACUAGUACAGGGUUUGGGCUUGUAAGCCACCUGUCCCUUUGAGUAGUCUAUUCGAUUGUGUCGUGGUGUAAGGGCUGGGUGUUAUGAAGUAGUCUAUUUGGAGGUGGGGUUUGAUGUGGGGCAUGGGCGUCUAUGUAUAUACAAGGUUUAGCCCGAUAUGGCUGCUUAGUGCGUCUGUGAUUUCCAUAAGCUAGUGGUAUAGCGGGGCUCCAUAGUUUACUAUGCCCUUUGACCGCAUUGUGGGGGCGGUUGUGAUCAGAGCGUGGGAUUGCCAUAACAAGAGCGGUAACAUAUUAAGCGACAAAUGAGGUUGAGUAACUUGGCAUAUUAAAUAAAUCACAAUUAUUAUAGCUUGUUGGCAUUGUUUUGAAUUCAAGUUGCGGGGUGUUGUGUCUCCCCUGACUCAGAGGUGUGGGUCUCCUCGGAGGUUCCUGGGUGUGAGUUGUAUAGUCCCUGUGAUGUGAGGCCCAACGCUGUCAAAAAGGCUGGGCCGUCUGUCGGGUCAGAGACCUUGUAGGUCUUCCCGUCUUUAGUGACCAGCAACGUUCGGGGGGGUCAACCAUCUGUAGGCCAUACCUGCAGUUUGGAGGGGUAUGGUGAUGUGUCGCAUUUAUUUUCGCCACAGUAGGGUGGCUCUGCUCACAUCUUGAAAGAUUGAGAUAUGGCUGGAUUCGAACUGGUACGGUGUCAUUCGUUUUAGGGCGGUCAGUAGGCCCAUUUUGUCCGUUAGUGUGUGGCAUCACAAAAUUAUGUCACGUGGCGCUGUUGUGGGGGCCUUCAAAGAUUUGGUUAUUCGGUAGACCCCGUCAGAAGAGAAGUGUUUAGCCUGCCGUGCCGGUAUGAGGGUGGACACCAGUCUUCUGAUAAAGUGUGGGAGUUCGUCUAGGGAGACGGUUUCAGGGACUCCCCUUAGUUUAAUAUUUUUCCUUCUGCCCCUGUCGUCAAAGAUAUUAACUUGGGUGAGGAUGGUGCUCUGUGAUGCUUGUAGCUGUUGCAUUUACUCGGUUACCUUGUUUUAAGGUAAGUAUGUCCUCUUUGUUGGUGUGGGUGCGUGCCGUCACAGUUUUUAACUCUGUUUUGAGGGUGUCUAGGUCUGCUUCCCACAUCUGCCUGAGAUUGUGUUGAAGAGUGGCCAGCAUUUUGUGUAUGUCCUCUUUGGUAGCAGGUGCUGUUGCCUCUGAUCUGUUUGGGCUGGAGCACUCUGCCUCAGUGGGGGCGUGGUCAUGGGGAGCUUCUCCCUCCUCUGCUUGUCGGGCACUGGCCGUGGCAGCUGGUGGUGUUUGCAGCAUCUGGCCUAUGUCCCUUUGCGUCUUGGGAGUGUUUGCCGUCGGUUUGUAAGAUUUGCGCUCCAUCUCUUCAGCGGGUGAGUCCGAGGUCGGGUCUGUCAGGCCCAGGUCGAUCCACACUUGGGAAGCCCAGUCAGCCUUGAGUUGGCAGCCUCCCACGCAGUAGGCCUUAGGACCGCGGCUGCAGUUUUUUUUGUUUGCGGCUUGAAAGAAAGGCAUUGGCUGAUGCAGUACGAUGCCCUCUGUUGCUUUUCGGUCUGUCCGCAGGUGGUACUGGCUCUGUUCGCCUGGGAUUUGGUGUUUUGCAGCCCGGUUCGUCAGAGCUGAGAGAUAUGGCGACUGCUCCGGUUCGCUCACAGGCUCCGCCCCCCGGUCCCUAUAUAUUUUAAUAAAACCCGAUAAGAACAUUACAUUUUGCAGUGUGAUGCACAUAGUAUAAUAUGCUACACAUUUUUAAUGUAUUAAACCAGAUUUUCAUAAUGAUUUCUGCAGAUAUUAGAAAACGAUCAUGUAGAAAAGAAUGCCUUCAACCUGAUUUGUUUGUAAAACCCCUCUGUAUUACUAGGAUGACUGCAAGUCUAUGCAAUUCUGUCUAGCUUUUAGUUACACGCUUUGUAUUUGUAGCAGAAAGGUGUUUGUCUCAUAUGUUUGCAAAUCAACAAACUCUAGUAACAUUUAUUUUGAACCAAUGUAACAGGUAUUCUGACUAGUUUGUAUACUUGCUGUGUCCUCAUUUAAA